UGUGCAUAUAUAUGCAUGUAUGUAUGUGUGUGUGUGCGUAUAUAUAUAUAUAUAUAUAUAUAUAUACACACGCACACAUAGACACCUUUUGCCUGUAUAUAUGCGUAUAUAUUUCUCCAGGACAGGAAGUAUUAUAUGGGGUCUUGGGACGAGGGCCCUUGUGUUGCUCAGCAGUGCUUUCUCAGGCGAAACCUGUGUGUAAGAAGGUGGCUGUGGAGUGGAGGGUAAUGGAGAGUUGAUGUAAACACUUAGUAAUAAAGGGAUAGGACUCGGGAAUGAACGUAUACCUUAACCACUCCAUCUCAAGGGAGUCUUGACCCACUCUUUGCCAGGGCUGGCUCCUGCUUCUUUUUUUGGCUGAGGUACCCACCCCAUUAUUUUUUUGGUGGUAAAUGUCUCAGACUGAUGCUUCAGGGCAGUCCAUGGUGUGAAAUCAGUGCUGAGAGGAGUGAAUAGAGCUGCUGUGUUGCCCUGAAACAGCUGUGCUUCAUUUUGAUAUGUUUAGCCUUAGGGCUAUAUAUAAAAAGUUAUGUUAUUAUACAAUACUAUUAAUAGUAUGUAAUUUUAGUAGAUCUAGUAAGCUUUCCUAGAUCUUCCUCUGCUAGCAUGCUAGCAAGUGUCUGUACCUCACAAGGAAGUCUCAUAAAUGUAGAUAGAUCUAGUUUACAGAGCUAGUCUGAGAAAGCCACUUAAACAGUUAACUAGGAGAAAAAACAUGAAGGAUGAAUAUGGGCAGUGACAUAAUCUUAUGGUGGCUCAGCUGUUGUUAAAAAAGCCAAAGUGAAAGUACCUCUAUCAGAGCUGCUGUGCUUUGUGACAGGUUGCCAUUAUGGGUUCUUUACUCCCCUCUUGUAUUUUUCUGUCAGCUUUUGUAAUUUUUCCAGGAUUUUCAGAUGUACACCAAUCCAGAAAUCCCAGCCAAGCAGUCACAGUACAUGUUGACUCUGUUACAUGCAAGAUGAAACUCGUAUGCAGGGCUGGUUGGGUCGGUGCAAUUACAUUGCCCGAACAAUCUGUGUCUGCGUGGGGAGCUGACUCGAAUGCUGAAUGUGCUGAGUUUCUGUUGCUUUUUGAUUUUCUGAUAUGGUUUGGUCUAGAAAGAUCUAAAGUGUCUUCUGUUAGACGGGAAGUUUCCCAAUACUACAAAAUCUGGCUAAUAUCUGCUUCAUCCAGCAGUGGAGUUAUUCAGAGCCCCUACUUCCUCAGGUUGUUUAUAGGUUUGGAUGUUCAUACUGACCCUGGCACCCCCUUAUAACCAGUGAAACGUUUGAUUUUCAUUUUCUCAAAAGCACUACUGGUGCACAUCUUGGUCAUGAUGUGACACAGUCAUAAAGAACCAUUGUUUAUACCUGGACCUCACAACUUACAGGAAAGUGUAUCUCUUGUGUAAGCAGCUGCUACUGUCUCAGCUGCUGGGUUUGCAAUAUAUUGAUUGUUGGAAGAUGAAGAAUAUAGAUUUCUGAGGUAUUGAGAAAACUGCAAGUCCAAUGAAAACCAGACCCCUUUCAAUCUGGCUCAUCUUCAUACUGGUUCAUGCUGCUGGAUGAAUUGCUUCAGUUCUCUAAACACUUGUAGAACAAGACAAGAAACACAUAAAGUGAACUGAAGCCGAGGAAAAGGUGCAAAUGAAAGGAAUGGGAGGUGUGAAAAUCUAUCACUGCUAGUCUUGAUACCUAGUUGCAAUCAUGAGCAUGGUCUCAGGCCAAAAGCUUAAAAUUUUGUUUCUUUUUUGGACACAUGCAUUGGGGAAGGUGAAUUAUAUCAGUACUUUUUAAAAAGAUAGCCAGGUGUGUGGCUUUAAGGGUUGGCAUUUGGUGAUCUCUGGUAAAUGUAACUGAAUAUUUGGUUUUCUGUUAUGUUUCCCAGGCCUCUCUUGAGGGUUUGUUUCAAGCAAAUGGCAGUUGCAGGCUCCUGUUUUUCAGUGGAGAGAUUUUUCUGUUACCUUUGUUAUAUUUUGUUGAUGGCUAUUAAGGCAGCAGAGGAGAGCAUUCCAAUUAUAGUUGCUUGUAGGGUUCAUUUCCUUUCAGAAAUUGAUGUUGAAAUAUGUAUCUCAAAAAUAAUGAGCUCUUUCUUUGUGAAGGCAGAGUCAUCAUCAUUAUCAAAAUGUCAUUGCUGUGAAGAUCAGGAGGGAUUUUAAGGAUGUGGUAAUUUUGAUACUACUUUUUUUUUUUCUUCUUUCUUGACUGACAGAGUCUUAAUUAGUUACGAUUAGCUAUUUUGUGUACUGGGUAUUGGUUGUACAGCCCCAAAAUAUGUAUUCAACAAAUACAGGAGUAAAAGGAAAAGAAAGGCUGCACCUGCUGUGCUUAUCUUGGAGAAAAGCUGCUCUUGUGUUUAGAAGAAAAACAUAGAACCUGGUGACUGAAGAUUGAUACUAGAAAACAGUGGUGGAAUAUAUUGGAUGGUAUCUACAACUGGAGUGCCUACAGCAAAAAAAUAUUCCUUUUUCUAUUAAGCACAGGAAUAUAUUUCUGCCAGGUCUGACUCUAUUUUAUCCCUGUUAAAUAUUGUCCUGUAAAUAUGAAGUUAUGUUAUUUCAGUUUGUGGGAACCCUCUAUGAUUAAAGAGCAGGUUCCUGGUGACAGUAGUAUGGAGAACACUAUCAAACCCACAUGCCCCACAAAUUCAUGUCCCAGCUGGGAGGCACCCCAGAGAAGCUCGCUGCUUGUUCCAGUGCAGGUACUGUGGAAAUAUCUCAAGAGGACAAAUCACUGUGAUGAUGUCGAGAGAUUUCUGUUUCUCAGCAUGGCUGAGUUGUUGUCUAAUACACUCGUCUCAUGCAACUUCUUUGGAUUGUACAUUAAUAUUUCCCAAGAGCAGGUUGCAAUAUUGUGUGUGUCAGAUUUCACUUUGGAUCUCAAUAAUUUCUUCAAUUAUGUCCUGCAUUAAUGGUUUGCAUAGUCUUGGAAAACAGCACAAGGGUGUCUUCUGCCAAAUACACUGAGAUAGCAGCCUCAUCAUACUUCAUAUAUUUUUAUUGCUUUUUUGCUUUCUGGGAAGACUUCCCCACAGUAUGUAAAAUCUUCUAAAUAGCUAUUAAUUUCUUCAGUGGUGGUGAUCCCUAUUAUUUGUGAUAAAAUGCAUAUAUUAAAAAAAAAACCAAACUAAAAAAGCUUUGCAAAGUAAAUGUAUGAGCUGCUUUGCUAAAUAGCAAACUCAGUUGUACGCAAGAAACUGUAUUCACUUUGGUAAAAGGAAAAGUUCUAUUGCAUGGGUAUUACAGAAACUCAAAUGAUCACAAUUGUUUCUGAAUCUUAUUUUGCCUCCUAAUCUGAAGUGUGUUAGGUCUCCAAGAGUUUUCUAUCAGUCUAAACCACCAAGAGAGCUAGGAAAGACAAGUAAUGCAGCCACUGUGCAGUAAGGGCAAAGUAAAUGUGAGAGACUAUCUAGAUUCAGUCUUGUAACCAAACACCCUUUCUCUGUUGCAGCUAUCAGCAGUUGGGCUUGGCUAAGUGGCCAGGGGGGAAAAAGAUAGUAAGAAAUUUAGCAUGGAGAAGGAGACAGAUGGCUGUAGACUGGUUGAUCUUGAAGUGAGCAGUCUGAAAGAUAUAGUACAUAAAACUGCUGACAGAAGAUGUGUUAGAGAGAGGCAUAAGUGCAGGUAGCUAUAAAGUAGCAAAGGUAUUUUAGAAAGGUGCAAAACCAGAUCCAGGCAACUAAGUGUCUUUUGCUGUGAUCUCAGUAGGCUUUAAAAUAAAAUGUGAUGGAGAGCAUAAUAGAGAGCAUGGAGGUAAAUGGAAUGAAAUGUCACAUCUUUUUAAUCAAAGGUAGAUUAUCUCAGAUUAACAGAAGAUCAUUUUUGAUAUAUUCAGUGAUAUUUUUAGGCAAGGAGAAUGGGUAGAACUAUUCUGUCUUGAAUGUAUUUGAUAUAUUGUCUUGUGGGAAAUCGUUAAUUAAGCUGGACAUGAUAAGAAUCAUUAGAAGAACUGAAAGUGGGUAAAAAAAGUGGAGUGGUUAGGAGACAGUAGAGACUAUCAAAAGGGAAGUAUUGGAAUGAAGUUACUAAUAAUUUUUUUUCAGGAAUGAAUUUUGAGAGAAAGCUUCCUAGUAAUUUCAUUAACAGUGUUGAUAAGAGAAUUAGGAGUAUGACAGUGAUUCUGAAGACACAAGUUUAGACAGCAUAGUUAAUGGAGAGAAGGAUAAGAAUAUCAAAUGGGAAAAAUUAGAUGACUCCAAGGAUAAGAGAAAUAAAGAGGCUAGUAUUUAAAAUAUUAGAGUGCACGUUCAUGAAUUAAUUUGAGAACUCAUAACAUCUUGUUAUGAGUUAACUCAUAACAUAAAAGCCUGACAAAGAAGAGGUGGAGAUUGCAACUUGCAUGUUAAAACUGGUUUUAGGAGGACUGUGAGUCUUGUAGGUAGUGCACCUAGAAAAUGUGCAAGCUCAUAUAUCCCAUAUGAUAUAUCCAAUAAAGCUACAAAAAUUUAUGCAGACCUCAUCUGAAAGGCUCUACUGUGUGUGUACCUGCUUUCCAAGAAAAAUGAAUUGAGACCUAACUAGUUGCAGAGAAAAGCUACAAAGAUGGUCAAGAUAAGAGAGGACUUACUACAGAAGGGAAUAUAAAACAACUUGGCAUGUUUAAUCUUGUGAAACAAAGACAGAGAGGAGGAUAUAUGUUGCCUCUGUUUAAAGAAAUUGGAAAGAUAAAGAUAUUGUGGACAUAAACAGUGCUGAUGGAAAGUGAUAUUCAAGUAAAAAGAAACUCCUUUUUGCACAAGAACCCUGUUAAUGCAUGCAGAUUGGAGACUUGUAAAUAUUCCUUGCAAAUGGGGCAAGUCACUUCACUGGAUGGUCCUGAUAAGUGAAAUAAUUUAUUUGUCAUAAGUAUCUGUGAAAACGAAGUAUUGUAUUCAUUUCCUAAGGAGGUAACUUCCAAUCAUAUGUUUACUAAAAAUGUGCUAUUAAAAGUGUAAAUAAGGUAGCAAAUCCUUAUUGUGGUACUUCUUUAUCUGAGUAUAGCUUGAAAUGAACUGUAUGUUCUUAAGAGUAAGUAAGAAUUAUGUUGAAUUGUGUAAGUAAGGCAGUGUUCUAAAGCAGGAAGUGUAAUUGGAAGUAGGAGAAAUUCUUGGUAUUUUAUUUCUUGGAGAAGUAAUAUCUUUCAUAUGUUAAAGCUUCUAACUUAUGAAUCAGAGCACAUGAAGGGAAUUGUUGUAGGUGUGAUUUUUGAACAAUAUUCAGAAAGGGAGUUUACAGUCUUGUACGUUUUAUACAAGACAAGUAAAUGGGUGGAGUAUCACAAAGCAUGGGAGCAGUGGACUGGAAAUAAGAGGGGAAACUGUUAAUGAUCUUCAUCACAUAAUGGGGAUAAAGACAUGUAGUCUGAGAGCACAUACACUAAGGCUCCUGUGUAAGAGGAACUCACCUUCAAAGUUUUUCUCUUAGAAGAUCUGUUUAAAUGAGAAACAGAAGUAGAUGUUCUGCGUGCUUACUUUCUGGUUUCAUACCAGCUAGAACUGACAGAAACAUGGAACAUAUAGAGCUUUAAGUCAAAUGGAGAACUUGCCUGUGAGUAAAGUCUGAAGAGGUUAGACCUUUUCUCCCUGAAAAGAGAAGGCACAAGAGAGAAUCUCAUCACAGUAUUCUAGUACUUAAAGGGCUUCUCCAGAGAUGAUGGAAUCUCUCUCUUCAUAGGGAAGAAAAGGUGAAAUUGGUAGUGGUUGUGCUAGAUUUAAUCUUGAUACAAGAGAGAAUUUUUUUACAGUGGGAAUAACCAUUGCCUAGAACAACAUAUCCAGGUUCAUGGUGAAGUUCCCUUCACUGGACACUUUCAAGACACAACUGGACAGGGUGCUGAAUGAUCUCUUCUAGCCUCCCUUUCCCAGAUAAGGUUGGACCAGAUAAUCUUUCAAGGUUCCUUCCAACCUUGGCUGAACUAUGCUCCUAGGAAUAUGCUAGUGGGCUGGAAAUAUCUCACAGAAGGAUGGAAACAUCUCCCUGAUUCUAGUGUGGUUUGCGAUAACCAAUGACACGAGUGUGGAACAUGGACCUGCAGCUCCAGCCUGGUUGGGUGCACAGGCAUGUGCUCUGUGUAGCUCUGCUUUCUUGUUGCUUGUGGAUGCAUUUGGAAAACAGCCUGUGAAUUCACACGGAGGAACCAAAUUUGCCACCAGAUAGUCAUAUUUCUAAUUGAUAUAUGAUAUUAUGUGUGCUGAAAGUCAGUGUUCUGUAAAGUAAAAUAAAAAUCAAAAAGAUCUGGUUGUUUUAAAGAGGUACUUGUUAACAUGACUUGCCAUGCAUCAUUAGGAUGGUAUUUCUUUCUAGAAGACAUCUUUAAUAAAUGAUCAGUCAAAAUCAUCUGCAAUCAAGACAACACAUUUCUAUCAGUGGAAGAAUAAAGCCAAUAAAAUUAUAGGAGAAGGAAGUAAACAGUUUAUAUAAUUGUAUCACUUGUUUCAUAAUGAAAUACAGUAAUUUUCUUCUGUUUUAUACAUGAUGCUCCCAAUUAAAUGUGACCAUGUAGGAGCAAAAGUCACAGUAAAUAAGGAAGUGAUAAAUCACUUAAAAAAAAGUAAAAAACCUCCAAAAACAAAUCCUCCAAAAGCUUCUAGUCCUGUUUCAUAAAGGCAGCCUUCUUCAGGCCAUUAAUGUAGCUGUUGCUUCAACAGGUCAAUGUAAUAGAUGUGAUGUGACAGUUAACUUGCUAAGGCCUAACUUUAAGAAUAAUCUCAGCUUUAAUUGUCUAAUUCAUUUACCUUGGUGAGACCUGGAGGUGUGUGCCCUCUUGGGAAUCUCAGUCUGUGUCCAUUGGUCCCUACUUAUUAAGAGGAAGGAAAAUGAACUUUUGUAAAAAACUCCAAAUACAUAGAUCUCGUGGUUUUGUGGUAGAAAACUCAAAACAUAGCUUCAAAGCUAGCCUGAAGUGGUAACUUCAGGAUUUGCAUAUUUUUUAUCUGAGAAUGUCUGUGAGUCUCCCAGACUGUGAGGCAUACAUGGCUAGUGACAUGGCAAACCCUCCAAGUUCAGUGUGCCUGGUGGUGACAUCUUCUAGAAAGACAUCUACUUCUGGGAUGUGUGCCAGAUCCACUGUGAAGGAGACUGGGAAUGUGGAGAUUGAACUUGGGGAUAUUCUUUGAUGCCAUGACUUUAGGGUGUUGGUUUAUGGAGGUGGAGAACAUGUUGAGAAGGAGGCAUAUUUUUUUUUCUGUCUUUCUGGCAAAUUAAAUGCAUGUUUGGAGAAGAGGGGUCCUGCCUUCACUGGGAAGAGAGUGUGUGGUCCUAAAAGAGCAGCUGUGUGCGGAGGCACUGUUCAUGCAUAUGAACUGUCCCUGGCAAUCAGACCUCGGUUGCUGGUGUUGCCACCGCUAAUGUCUUCUGAGCUGACUGCUAUCCUGAAAUAAUGUAUGCAUUAUAGACCACAUCAUAUUAUAAAAAUCAUAUGUACAACGUGCAACCCAAACAACAACCAACAAUGCUAAUAUUGUCAGCAUGAAAAAAUAGGGAGAAAAUAUAUAUCUGUUAUACAUUAACUUUCAGUUUAAUCUCAUAAAAAUGUGAUUCCUUGAAAGUUAGAUGGCUUCAAAGUGCCUUCUUUGAUCAGUAAGGAGAGACAGGUACCUUCAGAGGACAUUUCUUCCCUAUAUGUCAGGUUAUGAUGAAUUACUCACUGUAGAUGUCUUUUUCUCUACUGCAAGCCCUUGUGACAAACUUCAGUUAGACUUCUAGGGCUUGGUCCAGCUUCCUGCUAAUGGCCAUUUAGUGACUUUGGAGAACUCCAGGGAUUCUGUGACCUUUGCAUGGGGCUGGUAAAUGUUUUGCGGGUCAUGACCUGGAGAUCCAGGAAGCACAUUCCGGGGAAUCUGAGAUUAUGUUAGAUAGGUAUGUAUGGGCACUUGGGGUGCUCACCCAAUUUCUUACUUAAAGUAAGGUUAGGGAAAUCCCAGAUGGGAUCUGACCCCAGCCCAGCUAAAGCCAGUGUUAAUCUUAGUAGAAUAGCUGUACGUAGAUGAGUCCUCAAACUCUAGAGGUCUAAAUGUCACAGCCUAACUCUUUGUGGAGAGUAAACUUGAAUACAAUAUUGUUUAAUUUCUCAUGAGUUUGUUCCUGCACUGUUCCCAUCAAUGGCAGGUUCUCCACAGCAAGAAGACAAGCAAGUUUAAACUUCAUUUUUAUAUUGGAAGAAAAUAAUAAAAAAAUAAUAAAAAAAUAGCCCAACAAAACCCCCAAAAGAGUACUCUUGUCCCCAUCUCACCCCCACCCCCCCGUUGGUCAACAUUCAAACAACUUGGAAAAGAAAGACUUAGUUGCUCUGCUUUAUUAGAGACAUUAAAUUCAGAGAUGCCUAUAAGAAGUUAUAUUUGAAAGGGUGAAAAUUGCAUUUAAUCCAGCUCUUAAAAUAUGAUGGCUGGGCAACUGUUUCUUCUGACAACUAGCAAUUACUUAAUCAUACAAAUUUCUUUCACUAUGUGAAAGAAAUGGAGAAAAGCAGAUGAAAAUUCCCUUUGGGGAUCUGAUGAUUUGAUAACCUUAUUUCUUCAGAUGUAGUCCGGAAUAUUACUGUCUUUAAUAUCUACAUCAGUUGCAGAAAAGCAAUAAAAAAAGUCAUCUCAAAGAUCCUGGCAUUAGUUUAUUUGUGUCAUAGCCUUUAACUUUAUGAAGCAUUUUGUGUGGGUGGAAUUUGACAUGCCUGAUGCAAUUGUUCUCUUGAUUCAGUGUAACUAGAGAAAUAAAUUUGAAGCAAAUGGAAGUCAAGUAAAGAAUGCAAGCAAAUGUAAAAGGAGGCAUUUUUCUUCCAGGAAGUUUUUACAGUAGACUUCUGAAAGAUUUUAUCUGGAACAUGGAUUCUUCAAAAAGAGUAAUUUGACACUGGAAGAAAUCAUGCAUCACAUACAUUGCUGACAUCUGGGUCUGUUUCAUUUGUCUUAGUUAUAAUUUUAUGUUUAUAUGAUGGGUAUUUCCUGAAACUGCAGUGGAAGAAGUCAAUACUGAAGUAAUUUUUAUUUCCCCACAAGGUGGUACUGUGGUACUGACUAUACAGCUCUUGAUUUGGCUGUAGUUGAUUUAUAUCUGUACCCCCUUCUGCACAUGUUUUAAAGACAGAUUUUUGUUUGCAAAGAAGAAAGUUUCAGUGUUAAAAUCAAAUGUUGUUGCACAAUGUUCUUAAGAGUCUUUUUUUAAUGUGCUUUUUACCAAUCUUUUUUUUCUCAUUAAAAAUAAAUUUUAUUGCAA